rnacentral:lncRNA from 1 species
GGGGGCGGCCCCGCGGACGGUCCGCAUCUCCGCGAGCUCGGGGGCCAAACAAAGCCGCCGUUCCGCCACAAGUUGCGGAGAGAAGCCCCGACCCGCGGAGUGCCGCGUAGCCUCCCCGCAGCGGGGGACGCCGGCCAAACUUCUUUGUUAAUAGCGAACGAGACGAUAAAACGGGAUGCCGUCCCGCAGAGCGAACCCCGGCAACUUUCCUCACAAUAAACCCGCCCCGGUACCUGAGGGAAACUUGUUGGGCCGCUCCGCUCGGCUCUCCCUCAUCGCCUUCUCCCGCCGCCCCGGGGCCGCCCGCAGCCCGGCGAUGCCGCCCCCGGCUCCCGCCCCGCGGCCGCUCCGCUGGGACUCACCUCGGGGCAGCAGCGCUCAGAGAAGUCGCGGCUCCAUCGGGCGGGCGGCCCCGUGCAACUUUCCCUGCACAGAGCGAGGCUACGGAUGGGUAUCGGUAUCGGAGGGAGAGGGAGCGCUUCAGACGACAAGCUGCUGGGGAGGCUUAAAUCAAAAGGGGGAUGAAACCGGAUUUCUUCCCGGUUAUGGCACAUCUCUCUGCGCAAAGAGGGAGACGUGUUAUUGAAAAAUAGACAAUUUGUUCUUAACUAAAAGAGAUAAAGUACAAUGGAUGAUCAAGAUCGGCUUCUUCCAUUAAAGAAAAACAAUAGAGAGACUGCCAAUUUGCGAUAAUUUAAUGAGGGCCCUUGUUGGAUUUAGGAAAUCACCAGACUGAAAGAAGAUAUCCCAUUUGAAAAUUCAGGCAGUAAAAAGACCAAAACCAGAUACAGCGUUUCUGUAUUGACUGUUAAACAGAGAGUAAGCGUGAGACAGUGAUGGCAAAGGUCAGCAAAACUGAGAACUGAAAACAAUGUAGGCACUGGCAUAUGCGAUAUUGGCAGACGGAGCUCAACUUCCAUCACUGCCUUGUGUGUAAUAUUCAACAUAUACAGAACAUAUAUCUAGGAAAUGCACAGUAGUUGGUUGUAAAUUGCAAGUUGUUAUGGAAAUAUUUUAAGUAAUGUAUGAAGACUAUCUGGAAAUACAUCCUGUGAUAUAUUGUGAUGCUCAAGGCAGUUAAAGAUCCAGUCAGUACCCACUGCCCUACACAGAAGAAUAGCAGUCGGUGACAAGGAGACAUUGCCCCACAGGUUUAUAUAUAGGGCACUGUUAAUGUGGCAAUGUCGUUACACUCCAACUGGGAGCUACCAAGCGCAGAUGUUACAACAAGCGCAGUUUUACAAAUACUGAAAUGUCAAACUCAGGGCAAACCAUUGUUAGCCACAAGCCCAUGUUUUCACCAGCUACAUAGGCAGGAAGAGACAAAGUUAAAACAGCAUGUAGGGAAAUACAGUGUUUAAAUGUGCCUUGAACUCUAAGAAUCAACAGUAGUAGUUGAAACAUUCUCUGAAUGGAGCAGUCUGUGUGCCUUGGAGAAAGCAGCAGAGAGAGGAGCAAGGAAUCAGCAUUUUUGUGCUUCAGUGCCUCUGACAAGGGAGGCAUUACAGCGUCAGUUCAAAGUCAGGUCUCCAGUGCUGUGUUUCAGACCACCUCACAGCUUGUCUGUAAGAUCUGGUGCCUUGCUGGAAGAGGAUUCCAACUCUUUGUUCUCCAAAAGCUGUUCCUACUUUGGUUUGGGUAUUUUACUCCUUAGGUGACAAGUAUAGCCCAAAGCACUACAGUGUUUCUGUUGUCAGAAAAGAUGCACUAGUGCAAUUAAUAACCUCCUAUGAAUUAUCUCUUCAGUUAUCACUCCAUUUACACGUAUCAUGUAUUUUCUUUACAAAAACAAGUUUGAAUUUCAGUUGAGCUACUUUGUAAACAGGUGACUAAUACACUAGUAACUAAAAGCUUUAAAGGAAGAUAUUGUAGCCGUUUACCAUUCAGACCAAUUUUUGUUUCAUUGUUUUAUUUUGAUUUUGUUUUGUUUUUUUUUUUCCUUUCAGUCUACUUAUGACAGUCUACUUAUGAGAGUUCAACAUACACCUCUCACCUGUUACUUCCAUGAGCCUUAUUGUUUUUACAAUAACCUUAAAGACAUGUCUGAUUAACAUCAAUUUUAUGAAACAAAAUAAUGUAAAAUUGUUGGUAAUUUCCAUCAUUUGCAAAUUUAGCAAAAAUAGUAGAUUAGUGUGAGUGCAAAUUAUGGAAGCGAUAAUCAACACCAUCACAAUUAAGAAAUUACUGUGGGAAGGAGAGAAAUUGCCUUGCCCAUUGUAGUGCCUUCAGAGAUUAAUGAAAUAUGGCUGUGAAACACUUUUAAUAGAUAAAUGGAGUGGGUGGUUAAACAUCUGAACAAAGAUGAUUAUUUUGUAGGGAAACAAAACAAAGAGGAAUAAAUCAAAAAGCUGCUCUAUUACCACAAUUAAAAUGCAAUUGCUUGAUCAAUUAUCACACUAGCUAAUAGCUUGUUGGAGGACAAGAAAAUAAAUAAAACAUUACGCUAACCAAAGUUCUUUGAAGUGUAACAGUAUCUAUAUACCUAUAUGUUCCUCAUUUGUGUGUGUACCUAAUACCUGUACCUUACAUAACAUUAGCAAGGCUGUAUAUGAAAUGUUGAGCUAUUUAUUUUUGCUCUACAAGAAAUCUAUCAAUGAUAAAUAGUCAAGACAAAACAUGCAGUGCUUUGCUUUAAGUGUCUAACACAAACUUAGGUUACCAAUAUGACACAUUUCUAUGUUUUCUAGAUAUUGAAGACUCUUCAUGUUUUACAUGUUUACCAGUCAAAGAUGUUUUGAAAUAGUUUCUUCUUGGAGUAGCUUCCAAAUCAGCAUGUGUGAUGACACACGUCUGUUUCCAACUUGAAAAUGAUGUUCAUGUGGACGUGGGGCAUUCUAGGAAGGUAGUAAAGCCGACAGUGACUGUCAUAUAUCAGCAUUACAUUUUUCUAUCUCUAGUAAUCAGCAAAGCAUGCAUUCCUAUGUAGGAAGGCAAGUGUUAACGUUUGCAUUUGUAUGGAAUAUAGUGUAUAAAGGCAAAUAACUUGCUUAUCUAUAGUAUGAGUACCAUGCGAUAACCUGAUCUCAAGUCUGUGGUACGAGCUGACUUGUCCCCUUGAUCCAAGCUCCUGGUCAAAUCUAACACUUAUUUCAUCUGUGGAAGUAUUCACACAGAGUAGCUUGAACAUGAAGAGGGCAAAUGCUUUGUAAUGACUAUUCAGUGUGAAAAAAAAUUGCAUGUAUUUAUGUUACCAAUAGCAACAUAGAUUCUGUUAAAAGUUUGGUGAGGUUUGUGAAAAAACAUAGGUUUAUUCUGAACUUCAGAGAAUUUCUCAUAUAUAACUACAUAAAUAAAUGAAAAAUAGUACCUACAUCUCAUUGCACAGAGGUGUAUUAAGGAUUUCUUUUUCAGAUUUGAAUGCUUUGUCUUAUGCAAAACAAUCACACAGCUGACAAACCUGCUUUGCAUUUUACAGGGCAAGAGUAGUUAGAAAAUAUGUAAACUUGUUCAUAUUUAAAAUGAGCAAUUCGUGUGUUGUAAAUAUGUAGGUAUUGCUGCAGUGUACUAGUGGAACACAGAUUUCUCAUUCUGUUGUGGAAACAGAAUUUGUGCUCUCGCAGAAGUAGUAUAAAGCCUAACAAGGAUUUUGUGUACUGUUAUUCUCCCAGAUUCACUUAUGUACUUGGAGAUAAAUUUUAUCCUUGCUUAUCUGUGGUCGGUAAUGUGUUUGAAGAAAAGUCUGAGGGAUUACUGCCAUUUCAUCUCUCCUGGAUCAAACUAGAUUUUAAAAAUGUGGAUACAUCCUUUUCUGCCUUUCCCAUUUAUAAAAGCAGAAGAUGCCUUCUGAAUAUCAGUUAAAAAAAAAAAAAAAGCCCCAUACUGAUGAGGACAGAAGUUUUAUGUCAGGCAGUUCUGCAAGGAAAAGACUAUAAGGAUGGUCUCUGAAGAACAACAUCUGAGUGUGGAACUGGAUUUUAAAGUUAAAACUGAAAAAUGCACUGGGCCUUUCUCAAGUAUCUAGUAUUACUCAACUGCCAGCAUGACUAGUAAUGAGUUGUCAGAAAAGGUAGGAAGGAAGUACUGGGGAUGGAGUAACAAAAUGUAAGAAACACUACACUGAGACUUACAAAAAAAAAAAAAAAAAAAAAAGAAUAGCUGAAUAGGAAUAGUAAAAAAUUAUAUAUUUGCAGAAGUUACACUACAAAAGUUUGAUCAGAAUGGCCUAUAUGUAGAAUUAGACAAUCAUUAAGCAUAACAGUCUUACAACAGAAUUAUAAAACAAAGUUGCAAUUAGAUAAUGAUUUUGUGCAACUCAAGCUGGUAGCAACCAGUUUGAAUGCCAUUUCCUUGUGCAGUUUAUACUUUGCCCUUCAAGCAACCAUUUUAUUCCAUAGCCUAAGACACUUCCAGUCUGAUUGACAGCUGUUGUUAGCAGAUAAGAUAUGGUUACAGUUCACAAUUCCACUGCCUCUCAGGUGUUGCCAUUUUUCUAGAAUUUCAGAUGCUGCUGCUAUUGGGUUGGAUUCCAUAACUCUUGCUGAAGAGUUAAAAAACAAGGUAUUUUCAGUAUACUGAUAACACUGCUUUGGCCAUCCAUGCAGUACAGUCACGUUUGUGUCUGAGAAUGUCUGGGAAGCAACUAAGGGAGAGAACAAAGCAUCUGAGCUGAAACUCAGCUGUGAGGAGGCUGAGCAAAAAAGAGCUAAGCAGAAGGGAACCUUUACGGUAACCAAAGCAGUGUCAUCUGAAGGGUAUUUGAGCUUCCACAAAAUAUGCAUGCACAGACAGUAUAAAGUCACUUGGUGUAUGCACAUCAGUCUGACCAUACAAAGCCA